rnacentral:lncRNA from 1 species
AAAAUAUUCUGGAAAGAAAGGAGAUGGUAUUCAGUGACUGACAUGCUUAAAAUGAAUAUUUUCAGGGUAGUGCAAUGCCUAUUAUUGAUUAAAUGAGACAGUUUGGAAUUUGAUAUUAAGGAAGUUCAGCCAAGGCAAAUGAUAGAAUACAAAUCUUUUAGAAGUAAAGAGUUAAAAAAAGCUGAGAGGCCAAGAAGUCCUGGGUCAAAAUUUUUGCUCUUGGCUCCAGACUUCCAUUCCCAUGGGACUUAAGCCCUAUUAGCUUUUGGCCUUCCACUAGUCUAUACACCCCUCCCCCAGCUCAGUCUUAAAAAUCCCCAGCUCACUCAGCAACUAUUCCAUGAAUUUUAUUAAAAUAAAUUAUUUUACAGAGACGUUUAGUUUUUAAUAUAUGCUAUUGAUAACUUGGAAAGAUGAAAGAGAUUGAGAGCACAGAGAUGCCAAUAAUUUAAAAUACAGUCUUAAAAAACUUUGUUCUUAAAAUGAGGAAGAGUCACACAUGAGGAAGAGGUAACUGCCCUGGACAUUAGUAUGUCCAAAUGUGAUGACUAAAUCUGCCUCAGCCAUGUUGCAACCAGAGAGGAAGAAGCUUGAAAACAAAGCCAACGCAAUGAGAUGACACAGCAGAAAGCGGAAAGAACCUGAGUCUUUGGUGAUGCUAUUGAACUGAUGAAUUAGACCUGGAGGACACCUGCUAUGGGCUUCCUGUCAUCUAAGGGAUGGCUGGCAAGCUGAAGACCCAAGGAAGAGUCAACAUUGCAGUUCACAUCCAAAAGCUGGCUGCUGCAGAGUUCUCUCCAGUUUGAGGCAGGUAUAGGUUCCUUUAACACCAGAGCACUCAACGAGAAAUAAUGUAGAGAUAUUGCUCUCUGUUGGACUAGCAGCAAAUCAAUUCAUAAGCUGAGAGCUCUCAUGUGAGGUGUGAUAAGGAUGGAUGCUCUGCCUCCAAGUUUCUCCAGGGUCCCUUGGGCAAUCACUCCCUCUCUCUCCAUGUGGUUCAGCCAAGAGUGUCAAUCACAGCAUAUUCAUCAACACCCCACCCCCACCUCCGGCUUCCUGCAAAGGAUUAUGACUCAAGCUGGUCAACCAGAGUGUGCCCACAUUGGAUUAAGGGAUGUCAGGAAAGAUAUCUUCCCCCUAAACUAGGCAAACUCAGGAUGAGAAGUUGAGCUACUGGGGGCCAAAGAAAGCCGUUUGCCACAGGAGAAGAUAAAGCGUGAAAUAGGCAGAGCUAGAGAUGAUGAGGGAGACAAUGAACUGGUGGCAUCAUUUGGGCCUGUGUAAAUAACAGUCCUGAUACUUGUUCUAGCCCCGGACUUCCCAUAUGUGUGAACCAAUAAAUUACAUUUUUUGCUUA